rnacentral:rRNA from 1 species
GUAGGUGGCAAGCGUUGUCCGGAAUUAUUGGGCGUAAAGCGCGCGCAGGCGGUUCUUUAAGUCUGAUGUGAAAGCCCACGGCUCAACCGUGGAGGGUCAUUGGAAACUGGAGAACUUGAGUACAGAAGAGGAAAGCGGAAUUCCACGUGUAGCGGUGAAAUGCGUAGAGAUGUGGAGGAACACCAGUGGCGAAGGCGGCUUUCUGGUCUGUAACUGACGCUGAGGCGCGAAAGCGUGGGGAGCAAACAGGAUUAGAUACCCUGGUAGUCCACGCCGUAAACGAUGAGUGCUAAGUGUUAGGGGGUUUCCGCCCCCCUUAGUGCUGCAGCUAACGCAUUAAGCACUCCGCCUGGGAGUCCGGCCGCAAGGCUG